rnacentral:lncRNA from 1 species
AUGGAAUUUUCUACUUCCUCAUUCGAAUCACAGAAUAAAUUGGUUUGUCAGUUCUGUGAGGAAUCGUCUGACCUUGAAUGGAAGUGUAUAAACUGUGACUUGUUAUUAUGUCAACUGUGUCAUUCACGAAUUCAUUCGAAAAGUAAAUCAUCCACUAACCACAAAGUUAUUAAUCUGAGGGACUAUAGAAGAGAACUUGCCAGAGAAAUUGCUCGCGAGGUCGACUUAUCCAGAAUGACUUGUGUACAACAUAGUGAUGAAACGUGUUUAUUACACUGUAAAAACUGUGACAGACCAGUGUGUUCUGACUGCUUGAUUGGAGAUCACCACAAUCAUCAAUACAGUAAACUGGACAUAGUGUACAAGAGAAAACUCCAAGUCAUAAGGGAUG